ACCACACCAAAGGUAGAACAGCGACACUCGAUCGCCAUUGUUGCAUUUUCAUAGUGUUUUUCAUUCAGUUGAGGUGUAUCCUCUCCUGCUGUACCAUCAUGGAGGCUUGGAGGAAGACCACGGUGGGCUUUUUGGUUCUUAUCUUGGUUGCGGCUUCAUCAUAUGAGGUGUUAUCCGUCGAGAACAAUUGUUUCUGGAAAUUUAGCUCCCGCCAUUGCGUGAACAGCCCAGCGUGCAGGGACGCUUGUAUAGAACGUGGCGCGGACGAUGGACAAUGCCGCAACCGCUACAAGAAAAUUACCGGUGCCAUCUGCGAGUGCUAUCCCAAAGAAUGCAACCAUUAAGGGCUAGACGAUUGUCGUCUAGUCAGUCAAGGGGGCGCCACGUUAUGAUUCUGCUGUUGUAAUUGUGAUAUUGAUAUGCUCCAGAGGCAACCAAAGUGAAGGUGUGUCGCGUUAUAUUUAUUAUCUCUUGGAUAAUGAUAAUCUGAAUGCUAUUGAUGGGGACUUUUUAUACAAUGUUAUGAUUUGUCGUGCUAAAAUCUUGUGUACAUGUCAAUAAGAAAUUAAACAAUAUUACACGUUUUA